UCUGGAGGAAGGCCCCCGAUUCCAGAUGUUUAUGUCCGCAAGUUAAGCAAAUGUGAAAGCACCCGAGUGGAACUUUCUCAUGCAUUGGUGCACCUUCAGGUGGGAGGGGACGCUGUGUCCUCACUCCACUCAGGAGGGUGGGCACCCCUGGGAUCCAGUGAGGGGUCCAGGACUUCAGGUUUACAUCUUGGUCCGGGGCUUUGGCCCCCGAGGCUACCACGCGAGAACCAGGCCCAGGUCACUCGCAGGGCCACUUCACUGGGACCGUCUCACCGCCGCGCAAGUCCGACCGCGGGAUCCUCGCACCGUUCAGUGUGCGGUUUGCCCUUUGAUCUCCAGACAUUUAAGUAUUCACCAGGAAGCAUGUAUACAGAAAAGUGCGCAAACCAGGAGUCUGGAACGAGACGAAUAGCCACAGAGUAAGCACACCCGCGUUGCUGCCUCUGGGUCCAGAAGAACACUUCUCUGAAAGCUUCCCUCCCUUCCCUAAGGCAACCACGAAUCCAGCACCCUAGAUUAGUUUUGCUGGCUUUUGAUAUAAAUAGAAUCAUGCAGUGUACUUCCGUGCCUGGUUUCUUUGUCUUUGUAUUAUGCCUGGAAUCCAUCCAGGUUACAUACAGCAAUGGUUUGUUUACUUUCGCUGCUGUAUAGAAUUCCGUUGUUUAUUUUAUACCAUAACUUAGCUAUUCUGCUAUUGGUGGACACUAGGGUUGUUUCUUUUGGGAGCUAUUCAGAAUAAUGCUGUUACGUAUUUUCUUGUACAUGGAUCCAAUGCUCACGUGCCUGAGUUUCUCCAGGAGUAGAACUUCUGGGACAUAGAGUAUGAUAUCAUCAAUAGGUAAUGCCUGUUUCAGCCAAGAGGCUGAAAUAAUACACAUAACUCUAUAGCGGUGUGUAAGGGUUUCCAUGGCUUCGAACCUCAGGCUCAUUGUCAUUGUCAGUAGUUUUAAUUGUGGGGCUUCUGGUGGGUGGGUAGUGGUAUUGCCCUGUUGUUUUGAUUAGCUUUUCUCUAAUAACUAAUGAAGUUGAGGACCUUUUCAUGUAUAUUGUCUAUUCGGAUAUCUUUUGCGAAGUGACCAAUUUUUUUUUUCCUAGUGGAUUGUCGCCUUUUUCCUACCGACUUACAGGAUUUCUUUAUAUGCUCUGCAUAUGAGCACACUCUGUAGCUUGCCUUUGCACUUUGUUGUUGUUGUUUGUUGUUGUUGUUGUUGUUGUUGCUGUUGUUGUUAUUGUUAAAACUGCUUAAAUACAAAAGAAUUCACAGAGACCAGAAAUACUAUCCUUGUACAUGUCACCUAUGCUGCAAACUACAAAUUGUAGUCCAUUUUGGUCUGUUUAGGGUAACAUCCUAUUCCCCAAAUCACCAAAUCAUAAUCAGGGCUGCAAUUCAGAUCAAAAGACUACAAAAAUGGCCUCCUCACCCAUUUUGCAAUGGGAACAAGCUUUCAAAUGGUCCAUUUUAAGAGGAGUCAUCAGAGGAAAAACUUCUUAGCUCAGGAAGCCCUAUCCAUUGACUACCUUUUGUCCUUUUUCUUGUAGGGGGAAAGUUACACUGUGGUCAGGUAGGUCUAGGACAGGAAGUUUUUCUGCGUACUGGCCUUUCCAUUCUUAAUGGUGUUGUUUGAUGACUAGAAGUUUCUAAUUUUUAUGUAAUUCAAUUCAUCUUUUCUGGUUAGAGGGCUGUGUGUCUGUGCAUGUACCCUCAAAUAUUUUUCUUUGUUGUCUACUAGAGGCUUCAUUGUUUUACCUUUCACAUGUAGUUCUGCAGUCCCCCUGGAAUUGAUUCUUUUUGAGCUUUUUGAACAGAAUGCAAACCAAACACACCCAAGUAACUGGUAUCCUGAUCAAGAACAGGACUUUGCCACAUUCUAGAACCUCCCUUCUUGUCCUUUCAGUCAUACACUUGCCCCAAUGGUAACCACAUCUUACAUAGAUUGGUUUUGCUUAAUUUUGUAUUUAUGCAAAUGAAAUUGUACCUUAUGUAUAUCUUGCUUAACAUUAUAUUUGUGUGUAGAUGUAGUUAAUUUAUAAUCAUUGUUACAUAGCAUUUCAUUGUGUGAAUAUAAUUUAUCCAUUCUGCUGUUUAUGAACUUUUGGGUGAUUUCCAGUUUGAGCUAUUAUAAGUACUGCACCUAUUAAUAUUAUAAUACAUAUCUUUAACUGAACACAUAUACUAAUAUAUACAUGGAAAUGGAAUUGCUGGGUCAUAGGGUUAACUUACAUUCAGCUUAAGUAGGUUCUACUAGUUUUGCAAAGUGGUUGUACCAGUUUACAUUCCUUAUUGGUAUUGUCAGUCUUUUUAUUUUUAUAAUUUAUUUUAAUGUUUGUUUAUUUUUAUACUUUUUUAAUGUUUAUUUUAUUUAUUUUUGAGAGAGAGAGAGAGAGAGAGUGAAUGUGAGCAGGGGAGGGGCAGAGAGAGAGGGAGACACAGAAUCAGAAGCAUGCUCCAGGCUCUGAGCUGUCAGCAUAAAGCCCCACUGGGCUCAAACUCAUGAACCGUGAGAUCAUGACCUGAGCUGGAGUUGGAUACUUAACCGGGUAUUGUCUGUCUUUUUAAUUUUAGGCAUUCUAGUGGGCUAAUAGUGGUAUUGCAAUGUGGUUUUAAUUGUAUUUGCCUAAGUACUAACACAGUUAGUAUUUAAAAAAUAUAUUAAAUAUAUUUUAAAAAAUAUAUUGUCCAUUUGGAUCACUUCUUUUGUGAAGUGUCUGGUAAGUGUUUUGCACAUUUUUCUAUUGGGCUGUUCUUUUUUGCUGAUUUGUAGAUUUUUAUAUUUUUUGGAUAUGAGUUCUUGUGAGAUACAUGUAUAGUGAAUGUGUUCCCUUUCUCUGUGGCUUGCCUUUCACUCUCUUAAUGGUGUCUUUUGAUGAACAGAAGUUCUUAAUUUUAAUAUAGUGUAAUUUAUGAACUUUUCCCUUAUGUGGUUAAAUGUUCUUUUGAGUCCUUUUUAAGUAAUUUUUCCACCCCCAAAUCAUGAAUAUUUCCUUAUGGAAAUUUUGUUGUUUCACCUUUCACAUUUAGAUUUGUAAUCCAUCUAGAAUAGAUUUUUGUGUAUGGUCUGAGGGAGGGAUCAAGAUAUAUUUUUCCCCAUAUGGAGAUUCAUUUGACCCAGAAUCAUUUAUUGUAAAUGCUCUGCAUUGCCAGCUUUUUCAUAAAUUAAGUGUCCAAAUAUGUGAAGGUCUUGUGGACUGGCUAUUCUGUUGUGUGGGUUUAGUUGCCUACCAACUAUUCUUGCAUAAUAUCAUACUGUCACUUAAAAACUUGAUAUUUGCCUUUAAAAAGGGGUUACUUUUAGGGGCGCCUGGGUGGCGCAGUCGGUUAAGCGUCCGACUUCAGCCAGGUCACGAUCUCGCGGUCCGUGAGUUCGAGCCCCGCGUCAGGCUCUGGGCUGAUGGCUCAGAGCCUGGAGCCUGUUUCUGAUUCUGUGUCUCCCUCUCUCUCUGCCCCUCCCCCGUUCAUGCUAUGUCUCUCUCUGUCCCAAAAAUAAAUAAAAACAUUGAAAAAAAAUUAAAAAAAAUAAAAAGGGGUUACUUUUUUCCAAGAUUGUCGUGGUUAUUGUUGCACUUUGCAUUUUGGUAUAAAUUUUAGGUACAUCUUGCAUCUAAGAAAGAAAUUAUGCUUUGAUUUAUGUUGUAUUGGCUCCAUAGAUAAGCUUGGAGAAUUAAUAUAUUUACAAUAUUGGGCAUUCCAAUCCAUGAACAUGGUAUAACCUUACAUAUAUUUAGAUUGUAUUUAAUUUCUCUUAGUGUUGGGGUGCCUGGGUGGCUCAGUUGGUUGAGCGUCUGACUUUGUCUCUGGUCAUGAUCUCGCUGGGUUUGUGAGUUUGAGCCCCGCGUCAGGCUCUGUGCUAACAGCUCAGAGCCUGGAGCCUCCUUCAGAUUCUGUGUCUCCUCCUCUCUCUGCCCCUCCCAUGCUCAUGCUCUGUCUCUCUCUGUCUCUCAAUAAUAAAUAAACGUUAAAAAAAUUUUUAAAAAUUUCUCUUAGUGUUUUAUAAUUUUUUGGUGUAGAGGUCUUACACUUCUACUAGAUCUAUUCUAGGUAUAUGAUAGUUAAAACAAUUUUUUUUUAAGUUUAUUCAUUUAUUUUGGGAGAGGGAGAGCACAAACAGGGGAGAGGCAUAGUGAGGGAGAGAGAAUUCCAACCAGGUUCCAUGCUAUCGGUGCAGAAGCUUGAUGCAGGGCUUGAUCCCAUGAACCAUGAGAUCAUGACCUGAGCUGAAACCAAGAGUCAGACGCCUAAGCAUCUAAGCUAACCAGGUACCCCAGUAUAUGAUAGUUUUUGAUGCUGUUGUAAAUAGUAUCUUCUGCUAAAACAAAAUCCAAUGUUGUAAUCAUUAGUUUCUGGUACAUUGAAAUAUAGUUGAUUUAUAGUUGAAAUACAAUUAAUACUAGCAUUGUGUCUGACAGUCUUGCUAAAUUCACUUACUAGUUGUAAUAUUUUAAUAGUUUAGAACCAUUCUUUUGGAUUUUCUAUGUACGUAACCACACUAUGUGACAAUAAUGAUGGCUUUAUUUCUUUCCAAUUCUUACACUUGUUCUUUAUUUCUUGCCUUGUUUUUACUGGCUGAGAUCUUCAGCACACUGUUGGACAGUGGUAAAAGCAGACAUCCUUUGGCAGGCCUCACAUCAUAGGUAUGGGCGGGACCCCUAACCAAGCAAUCCAUGUAAAUAUCACCAAUAAUGGAACAAAUCAAAAUCAUGAUUCAGUUACUAGAAUGCAAUUAGAAGAACAUGGCAUCACUUCUGUGAGAUUCCUACUGAAGAUGCAUGACCUGAAUGGAAAUGUGAGGAAACCUCAGAUAAACACAAACUGAGGGACAGCCUACAAAUAACUAGCCUGCAGUCUUUGAAAGGCUCAAGGUCAUGAAAGUCAGGGAACUGAUGAAUUGUUCUAGAUUGAAGAAGACUAGAAGUUCUAGAUUAUAGAGACAUGAUGACUAAAUGCAAAGAGUGACCUAAAGAGGAUCCUUUUGCCAAGAGCAUUCAUUAUUGGGACAAUUUGCAAAAUUUGAAUCCAGUCAGAGGAUUAGACGGUAGUAAUACAUCAAUGUUAACUUCCUGAUUCUGAUGGCUAUGUAUAAGAUCCUUGUUUAUAGGAAAAUAAAGUAUUUUCUGAAGUAUUUUGGAGGUAAUAGGGUAUCAUAUCAGUAACUUACUCUCAAAUUGUUCAGGAAAACAUUUCUUGGUUCUUUACUCGCAACUUUCUUAUAAUUUUGCUUUGAGAUUGUCUCAAAAUAGAGAAGUUAAAACAAAAUAAUCUCAAACACUUAAUUCCAGAGAGGACCACCAGGUGGAGUCCUUAGACCAGAGAGCCAGUUUUACUUGGCUCUUCAGUUCUGGAUUAAAAGAAGGGGUUUCUUUGAUAAGGGAAAGAAAGCUCUUUCAUCUGAGCUGCCAACAUGCCAUCCAGACUGAGGAAGACCCAGGAACUUCAGGGCCACUUAAGCCACAGCCACGGCCACAUCAGCAAGCACCGGAAGCACCCAGGAAGCCAGGGUAAUGCUGGUGGUAUGUAUCACCAUCGAAUCAACUUCAAAUAAAUACCAGCCAGGUUACUUUGGAAAAGCUGGUAUGAGGCAUUACCACGUGAAGAGGAACCAGAGCUCUGCUGAACUGUCAACCUUGAUAAACUGGACCUCAGUCAGUGAGCAGACACGGGUAAAUGCUGCAGAAAGAAGGGGCACCUGGGUGACUCAGUCGGUUAGUGUCCGACUUCGGCUCAGGUCACGAUGAUCACAGUUUGUGGGUUCCAGCCCUGCGUGGGGCUCUGGGCUGACAGCUCGGAGCCUGGAGCCUGCUUCAGAUUCUGUGUCUCCCUCUCUCUUUGACCCUACCCUGCUCACACUUUAUCUUUCUCUCUCAAAAAUAAAUAAACAUUUAAAAAAAUACUGCCAGAAACAAAACAGGAGCUGCUCCUGUUGUUGAUGUGGUGCGAUUGCACAACUACAAAGUUUUGGGAAAGGGAAAGUUCCCAAAGCAGCUUGUCACCUGAAGGGCAAAUUCUUCAGUGGAAGAGCUGAGGAGAUUCAGAGUGUGGGAGGAGCCUGUCCUGGUAGCUUGAAGCCACUUGGAGGGAGGUUCAUUAAAUACUAAUAAGUGCUUUAAAAAAAUAAAUAAAUAAAGGAAAGUUGUAUGGGUUUCCUUUGCUUCAGCACAUGAACAGGGAUAUAAACUGUAGGUGGUUUUAUUCAUUUUAGGAUAUCCCUAUGAAGUUGAGAAUAGAGUACCUUUUUUUAUUUCAUUUCUUUUGGGUAGGGUUUCUUAACCUCAGCACUGUUGACAUUUUGGGGCUAAAUACUUCUUUAUCGUGGAGCUACCUGUGCACUAUAAGAUGUUUAACAGUAUCCCUGGCUUCUACUCAUGUCAGUACAUACCUCCAAUUGUGACAACCAAAAAUGUCUCUAGACAUUGACAUGUAUUCCCUAGGAGACAAAAAUCAACAGGUUGAGAACCGCUGUUUUUGGCAACAGAAUGUUCUCUGCUCUGAGCACUUUGGUUCCUCUGUGCUUAGCAGGGAGCCUAGGAGGUAUCUGAUCAUGCCUAAUGUGGCUGGUACAUAGUGUGUGUGUGUCGGGGCAGGAGGAAGCAUUGGGUGGUGGGAACUGAACCCCAGGACCUGGAGUUCUGGUAGGUGCUCAGUGCUGUAUCACCUAGCGGUACUGUUCUGUGCACAGACAAGCCACAGAGACUGGUGUGUUGGGAAAGGCCUUGGGCAACCAGUCAGGAUAAGACCUGGGUUCAAGGAGGGAAAGCGGCAGAGAAGGCUGGGGUAGGAGGCAGACUUCUUUCCCACAGCAGCCAGAACCCCAAUGCCUCCUAGCUCUACAGGCAGAGCCUUAAGAUGCUGGAGAACGGCCUUGGUUUCCCAUUAUCCCUGCUUGUUCCCAUUCAGAUGACCUUCUUUCUUUCUACUUUACUUCUCCACCUCCUCCCCUUUUCGUCCUCUGAUCUGGACCUCUACCCCCCACCUGCUCGCAGGGGCCCCAGCAUACCUUAAGCAUUCAAGGUUAAGGCUCUCUUCAGCCAUAUUAUGGUGAUUCAAAUGCAGUGGAUGGUAGUCUCCCCAAAUUCAAGAGCGCUCUAGUGCUGGCCAUAUUUAGACCAUGUUGCCCUUUUGGUUUCUUUAAAGUUCAAUUAUGCCCCCAUCCCCAACCCCUUUCUAUCGUAGGUGUAUCUUCUGUAAAAAGUGCAGUUUUCCCCAGCCCUUUGAAGAGUUACAAAGUAUACUUUGUAGUGGCCUGGGCGGGAUACAGAUGAGCACAUGGGGACCACUGUGAGGUGCCAAAGAAUUUGGGGACAAGGUCAGAAACUAUCACCUCCUGGAAAUAGAGCCAGUUUGAAACAAAUGGGUCAUGGCUGAAUUUGGCCAACUGCAGAAUCAACUUCCCCUCUGGCAGAGAGCCAGCCUCCCUACCUGGGGAUGAGGGAGCCACCUUGCCAGUGUGUGGCCUAACACAAGUCACUUCACCUCCAUGAGCCUCAGUCUGUGAAACAACAGAUUUAGAGGAGGUGAUCCAUGACUUUACCACGUAAAACAAAAUCCAUAAACAUGUCCUGCCCCUACUGAGUCCAAAUAUCCUUGAGGUUGGGUGAUUUGUGCACAGGCAUUUGAUGGGGUCAGUCCUUUUUAACAAGGUGGUGUUUUGUCCUUAGGAUUUUGUGAACGGCUUCUCAGCUUGCCACCACCCUCAUCAGCCCCAGGACCAGCGGCCCACCCACUGCGAGGAGGGUACAUGUGCUCUGGGGCUGCUUGGUUGGCUUUUUGUAGCUGGUCUGCUUUGGGAAUAAAAGGAAUUUCUGAUUCAGCUCCAAACAUGUUAGACCAUAGUUCUCCAUGUUCAAAGAGCUCUAGGAGCAAAAAUGGUGCCUUGCACAAGAAGCACCUAGCAAUCUUUGGUUUUAAAUUUUUUUUUAAGUUUAUUAAUUUUGAGAGAGAGACAGCAUGAGUGGGGGAGGGGCAGAGAGAGAGAGAAUCUCAAGCAUGUUCCGCACUGUCAGCACAGAGCCCUACUCGGGGCUCAAACCCACAAAACCAUGAGAUCAUGACCAAAAGUUGGACACUUAACCAACUGAGCCACCCAAGCGUCCCAGCAAUUGCUGGUUUCAAUGAGAUGUUAGUCUUAUGGGGGAAGUUGAACCCUUAUCAAUAUUCUGCCCAGCUCUGGCUACUGUCUCCCAAACACACUCAUUCCUUCGUUGCCUCACCUUGACAGCUCCAGUCGGUUGAUGCUUAUGGUGGGCAGCUAUCGGGUUGUGUGGCCUACCUACCCCUACAUUCUAAGAGCUGCACAUCGCUCCCCUCCUCCAGCUCUGAGGUCGCCGGAAAGUUCCUGCAGCCGUGUUCUGCUGUGCAAACCUGUGUCUGUGGCACAGCUGAUGGGGCUGGAUGAACACUGAUGCAAAGCAGGGUUACCAGGGCCAAGCAGCAGAUUCAGAAACCGUGCUUAGGGAGUUUGAGUUGCACCAGUUUCGCUUGGAGAUGUCAGUGGUCUCAUUUGCCCCAACUGGAGAGUGAGGAGGACAUGCUAUGGUGCAAUGAAGGUCCUGGUGACAUUUAAUGCUGGCACCAGAGUUCCCAUGGCCCAGCUGCACCCUUCCUGGAACUCGGCGUCAACCCCGGAUUCCUAAAACAAUGCCCCUCACCCACUUUUGUUUUUUUCCUAGCCAUAAUUGUAAAUAAAAACCAAAAAUAUGGGGCGCCUGGGUGGCUCAGUUGGUUAAGUGUCUGACUCUUGGUUUUGGCUCAGUUCAUGAUCUCACGGUUAUGUGAGCUCGAGCCCCACUUGGGAUUCUUUCUCUCUCUCCCUGUCUCUCUGCCCCUCCCCCGCUUCUGUCCCCUCUCUCUCUCUCAAAAUAAAUAAAUAAACGUUAAAAAAAAUUGCUGGAUUCCCAACAAGUACAAGCUUCUGACCUCAAAGAGAGGCCAUGGUAACAGUCCUAUGGAACACAAAACCCAUGGGUGCAGGGAUUUCAGUCACUUUGAAAGAUAAGCUGUGACCUAAUUAAGUCACACUGGGCAGCUGUAAGUGAAGAGGCAUGCAGUCCAGACUGUGGAGGGCACUCCCUCGAUAGAUGGCAGGUAUCCCUGCACCAAGCCCCUCCACCCAGCCAGGCUAUUGUGGCCUGAAGAAGGUCUGUUACCAAAGGACACCUUGGAGCUCUAGGAUUUCCCCCAUGACAUUGUUACAUGAACAUUUGCUAAAGCUCAAAGACCUUCUACUUGACAUCAGAUAGACCCAAAACCACAAAGAAAGCCAUUUCACACAUUGGUCAACACCUACAUUUAAUCGUUGUGUCUUGGAAAGAAAUACAGGCGUCUUGGUCAUGGGAUGUUAACUCUUUUAUUAACUUAGGGUUAACAUUGUAUUUGCUCUGUGGAUUUCUUUUUGGAAGUUGUGGAUUCAAUAAACAGCUGGGUUUCCCCCAGCUCCUGGGGACAAGGCAAACGCAUUAUAGUCAAAGAGGGGAGCAGGACAAAAUGGAGAACAAGCUUGAAAAAAUUUAAGGCAAAUGUCACUCCCAUAUUAAAGGGAAUUGAUCAAGCAUAUCUGUGCAUUUCAAUGAAAAUAUAUGAAAUAUCUGUCAAAAUAAUUAACAUCGGUAAAAAUUAGAACAUGUAGCUUAUAAAAUGCCUACACAGGUUUGGCAGAAAUAAAUCCAACCGUGUCAUUAGGCUCAUAGUACACAGACACAGGAGCAUCUACCUUAAGAACAAGUUUCCUGAAGAGCAGAGGCCAAGUGUAUUUCAAAAGCAAUUCCACGAAAUGGGCGGUGAUAAGAUUAAUGAUUCACGGGUUGGGUUUACAUUUUGGCAAGAGGAAUUGCUUAGUCAAUGGGGCUCCUCUUGGCUGGUCCCUGGGAUGCUUCCUGGGGACCCUCCCCAGAAGGCUCUGCAUCAAGUAGAGGUGAUCAUUCGGGCCAGGAGGCUCCCAGAGAUGUGGUGACAAGGGGCGCUCAGCUCACCUACGGGACAGUGCGGCAGAGAAACAAAGGGUCUUCCCGUCCAGAUUUGGAACUGGGAUGUUCUAAGACAUCGCUGCAGUUCCAGAAGUAGCUGACUGUGUAGGAAUGGAUGCUCCAUCCCCAGUGGUCAUAUAUUUUAUGCCCCCCAAGUCUAUUUUAUUUACAGCCUGACCAAACCGUCCCCAGGCUGCUCCGCGGCAGGUGGGGGAGUAGGUGCGCGCUCGGCCGGGCAUCACGCGUGGGGAUGUCCCAGGCCUGGUGGGUGAGAUUCACUGUGAGGCUGCACAAAAGCACGGGGAGAAGAGUGGUGUGUGAAGCCAAGCAUCUUGCCUUUCUGCUUUGGUCUUGAAGAUUCAGUAAACUUAGGGUCCCAGAGGCUGCCCCGAAGCUGGAGCUAUGGAUUCCCAGAAUUCUUUGUGUUUCCAUCUUAAGUUUGCCAGAAGAAUGUAGCCAGCAAGCAGAGUUUGAGAGCCUGUCACUGUUUGAAGAACACCCCCUUAUGGCCCACCACCCAUCUGGGCUGGGUGCUCAGAGAUGCUGCAGAAGGACCUUGCUCCUGGGGAGAUAAAGCUGUCAGACGCAGGGCACCCCCCAAACAGGCUGUGGCUGACGGUCUGGAGAAAGGCUGCUGAACGGACGGACGGACGGACAGGAGGGGCCCUGCCCCCUGCAGUCGGCUGGGUGCCCCUACCCAGCCAGGAGGCAUGUGCGGCAGCAGAACUGAAUGAACAGCUUCCGUUCACAGAGCCGGUUGGACUUCACCAUCUCGCAGAACAUCUCGUCAGCUGGGGUCCCACCAGGAAAGAGAAAGGAGGGAUGUGUCAGACUUCGGGGCCUGACAUGUUCCAACCAUCCCAUUUCACCAGGCCCCAGCGAUGGGCUGGGCAAGGGUCAUGGAAGAAGCUGGGGGCGGCAGC
rnacentral:lncRNA from 1 species